rnacentral:lncRNA from 1 species
AUGCCCCAGGGCUACCAAACCCCCCACCCGGCGCCCGGCCAGCAUUCGGACAACGUGCCCCUAAAAGGCCGGCGCUUCCCACUUCCCGGGGUCGCCUGGCGCCCGCCACUCGCCUCUCACCCGCAGCCCCACCGCGGCUCCCGCCUGGACUCCCGCUUCAGCUUUCGCUCGGGGCGUGGCGGGGGUGGGGGCGAGGAACUCGGCAACCUCUACUUCCGGGUCCGGCCGCGGCUGGUGUCCCCCCAUCUGCCCUCCGACGCGUGCUCGUCCGCGUCCGCGGGUUCCGUGGCUGGUGCGUACCGGGGGCACAGCCUCCAGACGGCCCUUGCUCGCGCGGUUGUCUGGGAUCCCCAACCCUCCACCCAGAUUCCUCCUCGCAGCGGCCCUGGGGUUGGGGAGGCGGGGGUCCCAAACCUCCAUCCUGACCCCUCUCCGCGGCCUCCCCAAAUUCUCCGCCUUAUUCUUCUCUGCCACCGCGGAAAGAGCACAAGCAGGGGGAGCAAGCAAGCAAGCAGAGACAGAGGGAGAAGCAGGCUUCCCACGAAGCAAGGAUCCCUAUGCGGAACUGGAUUCCAGGACCCCAGGAUCUUGACCUGAUGUGAAGGCAGACGCUUAACUGACUAAGCCACCCAGGUGCCCCGACAAAGCUAGUUAUUACCGUCAUUCCUAUAAUAUCACAUUUAAGCCUGCAUGGCUCAGAGCUCCAGACCCUAAAGUAAGUGGGACACAAAACUUUUGGCUCUUAUAGCACAUCAUGACAUCUGCUGGGUAAAUUUUACUUUCUUGUCACUGAGAUGGUUUGUAAGUCAAUUCUGGCAUUUUUGUGUUUUUAGUAUUUAUACCAUAUGUAUGCCCGCUCCACGUACAUCUCUGUCUUCAUGGGGGAUGGUGGCAUAUUGAUAACUGUGGCCUUUAUACUUGCAAGUCAGUUUGGCUGGACCUAAACUCCUUCACUCAUGUUUUCCUUCCUUGAAUAUCUUAAAUAUGUCAUUCUAGUUUCUUCUGGUAUCAAAUGUUGCUCUCAAUAAGUCUAAUCAUCUGAUUUUUCUUUCUCUUGUGUGUUUUUUUUUUUUUUUUGCCUCAAUGCCCCAAGUCUAUUUCUUUUUCUUUUACGUUUAUUGAUUUUAUCAGAAUACAUCUUCGUGUUUGUAACUGGGAUGUUUUCUCACAUUCACUGUUUCCCUUGGAAUAUAUGGUUUCAAAGAUUUUUUUUUUCAAAUUUAAGACAAGUUUUCUUGAAUCUGUACUUUUUGUACUUGACUUUGUCCUAUUCUCUUGUCUUGGUUUUCCUUUUAAGGGUCUCCUAUUAUACAGGUGUUGGAUCCUUUUAAUAUGUGUGUGUGUGUGUGUGUGUGUGUGUAUUUGCGCACCUAUCUUCUAAACUUGUAACUUUUUUCUCAAAUGUGUUUUGUUAGUCUAUUUUAUAUACUUGAGAGACAAGAAUACAGGUGGGAGACUUACAUGACCUGUUCUCAACACUUCCUACACAGCAGUCAUCAAAAAUCAAGGUGCUGGUGUAAAGAGAAAGACAGAUCAAAGAAAUGUAAUAGAGCUUCCAGUCAAGGAAAAACAUAUAUAAUAUCAAUUCAUUUUUCACAAAAGCACCAGAGCAAUUAAUAAGAGAAAGCAAACUCUUUUCCAUAAGUGGUGCUUGAAACAAACUUCAACUCCCAGAGACUAAAAAAAGUUAAUGUAAAAUGGAUAGACAGCAAAGGGCAGUCAUCAUAAAUGUACACAUGAUGAUUCCAUUAAUUUUUAAAAAGAUUUUAUUUACUUAUUUGACAGAUCAUAAGUAGGCAG